AGCUCUGACUGCCACUAUUGUGCCAAGUCCCAAAGCCUGCCAUAAAAGAAAGAUCCAUACAUAUUGACACUUCAGGCCAUCAUACCAGCCAAAUGCAACUGACAAGUUAUUGUGAUGGGAAAAAUAUGCGUCACUGGCAUAGUGUUUAAUGUAGAAUAGUUUAUUUUCUUCCUGUUUAAAGGCCAUUGAAAAGCAUUUACAGUUUCCCCAAGU